rnacentral:rRNA from 1 species
ACUCAUGUCUCGUACAGCCGAUUAAGGUGAACCGCGAAAGGCUCAUUAAAUCAGUUAUGGUUUCCUUAGAUCGCACACAUAUUUACCUGGAUAACCGGGGUAAUUCUAGAGCUAAUACAUGCAAACAGAGCUCCGACCGGAAACGGGAGGAGCGCUUUUAUUAGAUCAAAACCAAUCGGCGUCGGUCCGUUCGCCCGGGUCGUCGUCGUCCACCUUGGUGACUCUGAAUAACUUCAAGCUGAUCGCACGGUCACGCACCGGCGACGCAUCUUUCAAAUGUCUGCCUUAUCAACUGUCGAUGGUAGGUUCUGCGCCUACCAUGGUUGUAACGGGUAACGGGGAAUCAGGGUUCGAUUCCGGAGAGGGAGCCUGAGAAACGGCUACCACAUCCAAGGAAGGCAGCAGGCGCGCAAAUUACCCACUCCCGGCACGGGGAGGUAGUGACGAAAAAUAACGAUACGGGACUCAUCCGAGGCCCCGUAAUCGGAAUGAGUACAAUCUAAACCCUUUAACGAGGAUCAAUUGGAGGGCAAGUCUGGUGCCAGCAGCCGCGGUAAUUCCAGCUCCAAUAGCGUAUAUUAAAGUUGUUGCGGUUAAAAAGCUCGUAGUCGAAUCUGUGUCCCGCGCCGCCGGUUCAUCGCUCGCGGUGUCUGACUGGCGUGCCGCGGGACGUCCUGCCGGUGGACGCGGCUCCGGAAGCGUUCGCGGUAUCACCGAGUUCGCGGAAGGGGCGGUCCAGCCUUAAAUCUCACCGCGGUGCUCUUCACUGAGUGUCAAGGUGGGCCGGCACGUUUACUUUGAACAAAUUAGAGUGCUUAAAGCAGGCCAAAAAUUCGCCUGAAUACUGUGUGCAUGGAAUAAUGGAAUAGGACCUCGGUUCUAUUUUGUUGGUUUUCGGAACCCCGAGGUAAUGAUUAAUAGGAGCGGAUGGGGGCAUUCGUAUUGCGACGUUAAAGGUGAAAUUCUUGGAUCGUCGCAAGACGGACAUAAGCGAAAGCAUUUGCCAAAAACGUUUUCAUUGAUCAAAAACGAAAGUUAAAGGUUCCAAGGCGAUCAAAUACCGCCCUAGUUCUAACCAUAAACAAUGCCAGCUAACGAUCCGCCCACGUUCCUCCAAUGACUCGGCGGGUAGCUUCCGGGAAACCAAAGCCUUUGGGUCCGGGGGAAGACGGA